rnacentral:ncRNA from 1 species
ACUAUCAGGGGUGCCUAAUAAUAAGGCUGAGAUAUAUACCCUUUGAACCUGUUGGCUAGUACCAACGUAGGGAGAAA